rnacentral:snoRNA from 1 species
ACUUGGCAUAUGACGAAUCUCUAUUAACAAAUGGGUAAUUUGCGUCUGAAUUUUUCUUUGAUGCUACAUCACCUUGGAGAACUGAUGCCAAAA